rnacentral:rRNA from 1 species
UGCCAGACUCUAGCCCAAUAUACAUGACCUGGAAUAACAAAGCUACUUCAUACCACCCAACUAAAGCAUUCAUCAGUCUUAGUAUAGGCGAUAGAAAAGACACCUAUUGGAGCGAUAGAGAUCACGUACCGUAAGGGAAAGAUGAAAUAACAAUGAAAUAAGCUAAGCUACAAAAAGCAAAGAUCAACCCUUGUACCUUUUGCAUCAUGGUCUAGCAAGAAAAACCAAGCAAAAUGAAUUUCAGUUUGCCACCCCGAAACCUAAGCGAGCUACCUGUGAGCAGCUAACUUGAGCGAACCCGUCUCUGUUGCAAAAGAGUGGGAUGACUUGCUGGUAGAGGUGAAAAGCCAACCGAGCUGGGUGAUAGCUGGUUGCCUGUGAAACGAAUCUAAGUUCACUCUUAAUUCUCCUCCAAGGAAAACCCACAGAACCCCAAUGAAGCGAAUUAAGGGCAAUUUAAAGGAGGGACAGCUCCUUUAAAAAAGAAUACAAUCUCUACGAGCGGAUAAAUAACAAAACCGAUAGACUUAUUGUGGGCCUUCAAGCAGCCACCAACAAAGAGUGCGUUAAAGCUCCUCACUAAAAAAUAUAUAAACUAUAUGACUCCCUCAUCAUUAACAGGCUAACCUAUAUUUAAAUAGGAGAAUUAAUGCUAGAAUGAGUAACCAGGGUACUCCCUCUACGACGCAAGCUUACAUCUGUACAUUAUUAACAAAUACCUAAUAUACGACAAAUCAAACAAGCAGAGUAUAAAAUGCAUUGUUGACCCGACAGAGGAGCGUCCAUUAAGAAAGAUUAAAACCUGUAAAAGGAACUAGGCAAACACGUCAAGGCCCGACUGUUUACCAAAAACAUAGCCUUCAGCAAACACCAAACAAGUAUUGAAGGUGAUGCCUGCCCGGUGACUUUGUUAAACGGCCGCGGUAUCCUAACCGUGCAAAGGUAGCGCAAUCAAUUGUCCCAUAAAUCGGGACCUGUAUGAAUGGCUAAACGAGGUCUUAACUGUCUCUUACAGGCAAUCGGUGAAAUUGAUCUCCCUGUGCAAAAGCAGGGAUAAACACAUAAGACGAGAAGACCCUGUGGAACUUUAAAAUCAGCAACCACCCUGUAACACAUUCAAGCCUACCAGGCAUACGCUCUUACGGGUCAUUGGUAUGCAUUUUUCGGUUGGGGCGACCUUGGAGAAAAAAAAAUCCUCCAAAAAUUAGACCACAACUCUAGACUAAGAGCAACUACUCAACGUGCGAAUAGCACCCAGAUCCAAUAUAAUUGAUCAAUGGACCAAGCUACCCCAGGGAUAACAGCGCAAUCUCCUCCAAGAGUCCAUAUCGACGAGGAGGUUUACGACCUCGAUGUUGGAUCAGGACAUCCUAGUGGUGCAGCCGCUACUAAGGGUUCGUUUGUUCAACGAUUAACAGUCCUACGUGAUCUGAGUUCAGACCGGAGUGAUCCAGGUCGGUUUCUAUCUAUGAUGAGCUCUUCCCAGUACGAAAGGACAGGAAAAGCGAGGCCAAUACUACAGGCAAGCCUUCGCCUUAAGUAAUGAAUCCAACUGAAUUACGAAAGGCUAUCACAUCACUAACGUCCUAGAAAAGGACCA